AUACGUAGGGUGCGAGCGUUAAUCGGAAUUACUGGGCGUAAAGCGUGCGCAGGUGGUUUUGUAAGUCAGAUGUGAAAUCCCCGGGCUUAACCUGGGAACUGCGUUUGAAACUGCAAGGCUAGAGUGUGGCAGAGGGGGAUGGAAUUCCGCGUGUAGCAGUGAAAUGCGUAGAGAUGUGGAGGAACACCAAUGGCGAAGGCAGCCCCCUGGGUCAACACUGACGCUCAGGCACGAAAGCAUGGGGAGCAAACAGGAUUAGAAACCCCAGUAGUCC
rnacentral:rRNA from 1 species